rnacentral:rRNA from 1 species
UUUAGAGUUUGAUCCUGGCUCAGAUUGAACGCUGGCGGCAGGCCUAACACAUGCAAGUCGAGCGGCAGCGGGACCUUCGGGUUGCCGGCGAGCGGCGGACGGGUGAGUAAUGCCUAGGAAUCUGCCUGUUAGUGGGGGAUAACGCGGGGAAACUCGCGCUAAUACCGCAUACGUCCUACGGGAGAAAGUGGGGGACCUUCGGGCCUCACGCUAACAGAUGAGCCUAGGUCGGAUUAGCUGGUUGGUGGGGUAACGGCCCACCAAGGCGACGAUCCGUAACUGGUCUGAGAGGAUGAUCAGUCACACUGGAACUGAGACACGGUCCAGACUCCUACGGGAGGCAGCAGUGGGGAAUAUUGGACAAUGGGCGAAAGCCUGAUCCAGCCAUGCCGCGUGUGUGAAGAAGGUCUUCGGAUUGUAAAGCACUUUAAGUCGGGAGGAAGGGCUGUAGGCGAAUACCCUGCAGUUUUGACGUUACCGACAGAAUAAGCACCGGCUAACUUCGUGCCAGCAGCCGCGGUAAUACGAAGGGUGCAAGCGUUAAUCGGAAUUACUGGGCGUAAAGCGCGCGUAGGUGGUUUGGUAAGUCGGAUGUGAAAGCCCCGGGCUCAACCUGGGAACUGCAUCCAAAACUGCCAGGCUAGAGUACGGUAGAGGGUGGUGGAAUUUCCUGUGUAGCGGUGAAAUGCGUAGAUAUAGGAAGGAACACCAGUGGCGAAGGCGACCACCUGGACUGAUACUGACACUGAG